AAGCCCCCGAGCCGAGCAACCCCCCUCCCCUCGUUCCAUUCCCCUCCUCGCUCGAUUCGGCAGCGCCUCCUCCUCUGUUCGAUCCCUAACCCUAACCCUAAGGCGACGGCGCCGUUGCCCGCGGCCUCUCCCUUCACCGACGGCGUCGUUGCCCGCGGCCUCUCCCUUCACCGACGGCGCCGUUGCCCGCGGCCUCUCCCUUCACCGACGGCGCCAUCUCGUCCGAGUCCGAGCUGGAGGAGCACGUGUACAUCGGGGAGGAAGCAGGGCCAGCACGCCGUGGGGAGGCAGCAAGGCCAGCACGCCGUGGGGAGGCAGCAAGGCCAGCACGCCGUGGGGAGGAAGCAGGGCCAGCACGCCGUGGGGAGGCAGCAAGGCCAGCACGCCGUGGGGAGGCAGCAAGGCCAGCACGCCGUGGGGAGGAAGCAGGGCCAGCACGCCGUGGGGAGGCAGCAAGGCCAGCACGCCGUCGGUCCGUCCUUCCCUGGUUCCUCACCGAGCGCCACGAAGAGGAAGAGAUAAUGGUGAAGGAGAAGGGGAAUGAGAAGGGAAAGGGUGCUGGUAAGGAGAAUGCUGUUUUUUGUAGAUAUGCUUUCUAAUUCACUCCAAUGCUAUCAUCUUUGAUCCUAGGUACAAGAUGGGUUACAUAGAGUGGGCCUUUGGAGAACUAUAGGGAAAGGGUGCUGGCUGUCAAUAUGACGAUUCUACUAGAAUUGCUCUAAGACGGAAAACGGAGUUUUGGCUGCCUUACAAGGAGGACUAAUGGUGAUAUGGGUUCAUAAUGUCAUCACCAUGCCAUUGCCUUUGCAUGCACGCUAACGUCUUUGAAGAGGCAAUCUUCUCGUUUCCUUUUGAUCUGGAUCGAGCAAGGACAUGUCUCGACAUAUAUUCUUCGGGGUACACGUUACAUUCUGAGUGGUGGUUGCACCUGCCCUGCCAUGCGUAUCAGAGUAUAUUAAUGGCGCGACAUUAAGGAGUGCGUUGGGCCGUUGGGGCACACUACAUAUGUGUAGCCAAUGAAUGAAUGCGCAUGAGCUACCUUCCAUUAAGCA